rnacentral:rRNA from 1 species
UACGAAGGGAGCUAGCGUUGUUCGGAAUCACUGGGCGUAAAGCGCACGUAGGCGGAUGUGUCAGUCAGGGGUGAAAUCCCGGAGCUCAACUUCGGAACUGCCCUUGAUACAGUACGUCUUGAGUCCGGAAGAGGUGGGUGGAAUUCCUAGUGUAGAGGUGAAAUUCGUAGAUAUUAGGAAGAACACCGGUGGCGAAGGCGGCCCACUGGUCCGGUACUGACGCUGAGGUGCGAAAGCGUGGGGAGCAAACAGG